rnacentral:rRNA from 1 species
GCCCCAGACUCCUACGGGAGGCAGCAGUGGGGGAUAUUGCACAAUGGGGGGAACCCUGAUGCAGCGACGCCGCGUGGGUGAAGAAGUAUUUCGGUCUGUAAAGCCCUAUCGGCAGGGAAGAAAUUGGACGGUACCUGACUAAGAAGCCCCGGCUAAAUACGGGCCAGCAGCCGCGGGAAUACGUAGGGGGCAAGCGUUAUCCGGGUUCACUGGGUGUGAAGGGAGCGUCGACGGCGACGCAAGUCUUGAGUGAAAGCCCGGGGCCCAACCCCGGGACUGCUCUGGAAACUGCGUCGCUGGAGUACGGGAGGGGCAGGCGGAAUUCCUGGUGUAGCGGUGAAAUGCGUAGAUAUAAGGAGGGACACCGGUGGCGAAGGCAGCCUGCUGGACGGCAACUGACGUUGAGGCCCGAAAGCGUGGGGAGCAAACAGGAUUAGAUACCCCUGUAAAU